rnacentral:rRNA from 1 species
UACGUAGGGAGCAAGCGUUGUCCGGAAUCAUUGGGCGUAAAGCGCGCGUAGGCGGCCCUGUAAGUCCGUUGUGAAAGUCAAAGGCUCAACCUUUGAAAGCCGAUGGAUACUGCAGGGCUAGAGUCCGGAAGAGGCGAGUGGAAUUCCUGGCGUAGCGGUGGAAUGCGCAGAUAUCAGGAGGAACACCAAUAGCGAAGGCAGCUCGCUGGGACGGUACUGACGCUAAGGCGCGAAAGCGUGGGGAGCGAACAGG